rnacentral:lncRNA from 1 species
UUUUUUGACGGUUUCAGGUCAGCUUCAAGUUGAGUCUUAUGUGUGUGCACUUAGCAGUGUGUAUACCUUUGGCCCCACUUUUCGCGCGGAGAAUUCUCACACUUCCAGGCAUUUGGCUGAGUUUUGGAUGGUAGAACCUGAGAUAGCGUUUGCAGAGUUGAAGGUAUAUAAAAAUUUGAACUCAUUCAUAAGCUGAACUGUUUAAUUUGUCCAGUGCAAAGCUGCCUACUCUACAUGCUUUUAUAAGAUUUGAUGUUUUUAAUUUUUUGUGCUGGAAGCAGUAAAGUCCAUGGUUUUUGUGUUUUAUGUGUAGGAUGAUAUGAAUUGUGCCGAGGCGUAUGUGAAAUUUUUGUGUCAGUGGUUACUUGACAACUGCCUUGAGGAUAUGGAGUUUAUGGCUGAUAAGUUUGAUAAAGGUUGCAUUGAUCGUUUGAAGUUGGUUGCUUCCACCCCCUUUAUUCGAGUUUCGUAUACAGAAGCAGUGGAAAUACUAGAAGACGCUGUGAAGAAUGGUAAAAAAUUUGAGAAUGAAGUGAAAUGGGGUAUUGACUUAGCAUCUGAGCAUGAAAGGUACUUUGUAAUCUCUUUUUGGCCUUUUGGUCCAGCUCUUGUUCUUAUUAAUUUGUGUUGUGUGACAUCUUGAUGGAAUGGUGUUAUGCAGAUUCCUGACAGAGGUAAAAUUUCAGAAGCCAGUCAUUGUCUAUAACUACCCAAAAGAAAUCAAAGCAUUCUACAUGCGGCUCAAUGAUGACUUAAAAACAGUGGCUGCUAUGGAUGUGCUUGUACCAAAGGUGGCGUUCUGUGUUUUAUUUUGAACAUGUUUAUGGUGGAUAGCUAUAUUGAUGGUUUUUUGGCAUAAUAGAAGCAUGUAUUUAAGUAAAUGCAAUUUUUCAGGUGGGAGAGCUAAUUGGUGGAAGCCAAAGAGAAGAGCGUUAUGAUGUUAUUCAGUCAAGGUUCAUAUAUAUAUAUAUAUAUAUAUAUAUAUAUAUAUAUAAUAUGUUUACUGUUUUCCUGAUUUCUUUCCUUUGGUUAAUUGAUAUCAUUGGAAGUUAUUUGACUUAUAUUUUUAUGUUGCAGAAUAAAGGAAAUGGGUUUGCCUCUUGAGCCAUACGAGUGGUACCUUGAUCUGAGGCGGUAUGGAACAGUGAAACAUGCGGGAUUUGGGCUUGGCUUUGAAAGAAUGAUUCUCUUUGCAACGGGCCUGGAAAAUAUUAGAGAUGUGAUCCCCUUUCCACGAUAUCCUGGCAGAGCAGAUCUAUGAUCUUU